CAAGCACUCUCUUUCAAGCAAGAUGGCCGUGCCAGUUUCUGCCAUCGGAUUUGAAGGAUACGAAAAGCGACUUGAGAUUACCUUUUUUGAGUUAGGAAUGUCUGAUGGCCCGGGAUGUGGCCUACGGUCUCUCUCCAAAGACCAAUUGGAUGAAAUUCUGACACCGGCUGCAUGCACCAUAGUGUCUUCAUUGGCAAAUGAUGAAGUCGACUCUUAUGUCCUUUCGGAGUCUAGCCUCUUUGUCUACUCAUACAAGAUCAUCAUCAAAACUUGUGGCACUACAAAACUGCUGCUGUCAAUCCCACCCAUUCUUAAGUUAGCUGAUGCACUUAACCUGAAAGUGAAGUCAGUGAGGUACACUCGUGGUAGUUUCAUCUUCCCUGGGGCUCAGCCAUAUCCACAUCGUCACUUCUCUGAAGAAGUAGCCGUGCUUGACAGCUAUUUCGGUAAGCUUGGUGCAGGCAGCAGUGCAUAUGUGAUGGGUAAUGCUGAUAAACAACAGAACUGGCAUGUCUAUUCUGCUUCAGUUGAAUCUGCCAAUGCCAAUAACCCGAAUCCAGUUUAUACACUGGAGAUGUGCAUGACUAAUCUGGACAAGAAGAAGGCAUCCGUAUUUUUCAAGACUCACUCAAGCACUGCUGCUGAGAUGACUGAAGUUUCAGGCAUUCGGAAGAUCCUUCCAGAAUCAAACAUAUGCGACUUUGACUUUGAUCCCUGCGGUUACUCAAUGAAUGCUAUCGAGGGGCCAGCAAUCUCU
rnacentral:lncRNA from 1 species